UCCAGCCGGGGCUCCCGGCCCGCGCCUUGGUGGCUGGAGGCCCAGGAUGAGCCUCGAUGGCGAGAGGCCCAGGAUGCGCCACCAGGCCGGGCUCACUUCUUUGACGCCGAAUAAACUGACAAAACAAUUAGCUGGCCGGCUGGGGAAGGUGGUGGGUGACUCAAAUGCCAGUCGGCUGCGUGCCCCCGCGCUUAGAUGAGUCUGGGAUUCUGGGCAGUUGGGACUUUCUUUUCAGGAAAGGAGGUGAGAGGUGCCGGGGAAGCCCACACGAGCAGCCACUCUUGGAGAAAUGGGGAAUGGCGCUGUAAAAGCGCAGGCCCUCCUCCUCCUCCUUUCUCCCCAUCACACAAAAAGGAUGGGCCUUGAAAGGGAUGAGUUUAUUAUGCACUUUUAAAUGCCUAUUCAGAAAAGAACAGGAGGCAAAAAUAAAGAUGCUUCCCACCCCACCAAUUCCCUUCCCUCGAAGAAAAAAGGAAAGAGAAAGCAACCCACAAAGGUCUUUCUUUCCAGACCUGUGGUCUCUCCCCACCUCCAGCCUCUUAUGGAGAGCAAAGGAAGGAAAUGGGAACAGGACUCAACAGCAACAUUCCAGGAAAAUGAAUAGAAUGUGGGAACGGUUCGAAAUGAUAAAUCCAGGUGAUAGAACGAGUUUCAAAGAGCAAGAGCCUGAUGGUAAUAGGGAAGCCAGGGGAACGGCAGAGGUUGUGCAGAAGACGACUCUGGCAAAAUAAGGACUGUGGAGAGAAAGUAAGUGGCUUUUAAGAUCUUAAACAUGGGGUCAAAAUUAUACCAUGAGAAGAAAGAAAAAGUCCCUGGGAGUGUUUGUAGACAGACCAAAGGACAGAACGUGAAGAAGGGCCUAUGAGAGAAUUGGUAUCCGGAAGAUUGUUUAUGUGCAACACUUCUGAGGAAUAAAGGGUGAUAAACUGUCUCGUGAGAAUGAACUACUGGAAGGACGGAGAGACACAAGGAAUGGCUGCAGUCAAGGUGAAAUGUAGGCCGUUGUGAGAGUUUCAUCCCAGGGCAUGAUGAGAAUGCCAGGGCCUGAUGCGUGUCAACGGUGCUUCAUCUGCUCAGAGAGUGUCCUAAAACCAGUCAGACCCUAGAUGUAGAAGUAUGCCACCCAAUGUCACCUAGCAGUUCAAUGCCAGGGAGAGAAAAUUCAGGCUUUCUUAUCCCCCUUCUAGUGCAAGCCCAUGGAAUAUGCCACUUUCCUAGUUAGGAUUUGGAAUUGGUCAUUGGGAAGGGCUCCGAAGAGAAACUCUGAGAAUUGUUGAUUUCCAUUUCAAAUCCCCCUAAUGCAUAAAAUAAGAAUGUGUUCUGCGGUGUUCCUCAGCUUAUUAACUUUUAUAAAAGAAAGGAAUGAUCUUUGUUGUUACUUGAAAACAGCCACAUUUGGAAAGGUCUACGCUACCCAAAUGUAAUAAAAAUAAAUUUUAGUUCAAUUGGUCAGUCUUGAAAGCUAAUUGAACAGUCAUGCUUUGUUCUAAUUAUUCCUGGCUACCAUUAAAGUGAUGGAAAAGUAAGUACGUUUUUAUUGCCAACUCCUUGGGUUUUUUUCUCUUUUUUUAAUUUGUUUGUUUUGUUUUUAAAUAAGACUAACCAGUUUGGGCAAGGACCUAAUGCUCUCUCAGCAGGUAAAUUUUGCAACAAUGUUUCUGAAACCCUGGGUUCUGGGAUGCCGUGUGGGUCUUCAUCACUUGCAAAAGCUGUACUCAUGGAGCCUGAAAUCUAGCUGAAUUCUGCAUGGGUACAAAAUAUGGUGUUCUGGUUGACUGGAUACCAUGAUUAACUGAUGGUGACAACACACAUCAUAAACCAUUGUCUGAUUCUUAAAAAAUUCAAAGAUCGUUAAAGGAGAGUUAGAUGCCAGCUCAUCUUACACAGAGCAUCAGGCAGAAAUUGUUGGUAAUCUGGCAAAUGAAACUACUCAUAUCCUAUGAUGUUCGGUUUGUUUAUAGACUGAAUUUGCACAUAAUCGAGAGUUAUUUCCUCACAAAUAAUUUAUCUCUAAUGAAUAAUGAUGUCUUUGUUGUGAGCUCAUGGUCCAAAUAGCAAGUUUCCCCUAGUCAUAAUUAUCUACAACUAUUAUGUUUUCCCAUUCAAUUAAACUUUUCUUACAGAAACGGAAAAUUUUAUUAAACUACUCAGAAAUGAUUAAGAAAUUAGCAUAUAAACUAAAGAAGGCAAUAUUUAAGUAGGAUACCCACAAGCCAUUUAAAGAAUAAUUUAUGGAUAUACAGACACUUUAAACGAGUAAAGAUUUUCCCCUACUGGUUAUUCGUCCUUUUUCGUGGUAAUUUUGCCAUCUAUGCUCCUCCCAAGCUAAAGCACAAAUUAUUUAUCUUCCCCGAUUUGUUCAGGAUUUCCCAGGAUUUAUUUACCACCCGCUAAAAGCAAGUGUCAAAACCCCUGUAUCUGCCCUGUUAUUUACCCUUCCCUCUAACUGGAAAACCAUAAAGAAAAUGAAUCAAAAGAAAAGCUUGCAAUUCUAAAUUCUACUCUUACUUUUUUCCUAUUGAGAGGUGACAGCGUUCUGGCAGCCCUUGCAGCGCUCGCUCGCUCUUGGUGCCUCCUCGGACUCAGUGUCCGCUCUGGCCAUGCUCGGGGAACCCUUCAGCCCGCCACUGCGCUGUGGGGGCCCCUCUCUGGUCUGGUUGAGGGCGGAGCCUGCUCCCUCAGCUUGCCCGGAGGUGUGGAGAGAGGCACGGGCGGGAACUGGGGCUGCGCGCCGCGCUUGCAGGCCAGCUAGAGUUCCGGAUGGGCGUGGGCUUGGCGGGCCCCGCACUCGGAGCUGCCAACCGGCCGGCCCGGCCCGGCCCGGCCCCGGGCAGUGAGGGGCUUAGCACCGGGGCCAGCAGCUGCGGGGGGUGCGCCAGGUACCCCAGCUGGGCCAAUCCACCCGCGCUGCGCUCGAUUUUUCGCGGGCCUUAGCUGCCUCCCCGCGGGGCAGGGCUCGCGGCCUGCAGCUCGCCAUGCCUGAGCCUCCCCAGCCCCCGGCGCCGUGGGCUCCUGUGCAGCCUGAGCCUCCUGGACGAGCGCCGCCCCCUGCUCCACGGCGCCCGGUCCCAUGGACUGCCCAAGGGCUGAGGAGUGCGGGCGCACCGCGGGACUGGCAGGCAGCUCUACCUGGGGCCCCAGUGCCGGAUCCACUAGGUGAAGCCAGCUGGGCUCCUGAGUCUAGUGGGGACUUGGAGAACCUUUAUGUCUAGCUAAGGGAUUGUAAAUAGACUAAUCAGCACUCCAUAUCUAGCUCAAGGUUUGUAAACACACCAGUCAGCACCCUGUGUCUAGCUCAGGGUUUGUGGAUGCACCAAUGGGCACUCUGUAUCUAGCUAAUCUGGUGGGGACUCGGAAAAUCUUUUUGUCUAGUUAAGGGAUGGUGAAUACACCAAUCAGCAUGCUGUAUCUAGCUCAAGGUUUGAAAAUGCACCAAUCAGCACUCUGUGUCUAGCUCAGGGUUUGUAAAUACACCAAUCAGCACUCUGUAUCUAGCUAAUCUAGUGGGGAGGUGGAGAACUUCUGUGUCUAGCUCAGGGAUUGUAAACACACCAAUCAGCACCCUGUCAAAACGGACCAAUCCGCUCUCUGUAAAACAGACCAAUCGGCUCUCUGUAAAAUGGACCAAUCAGCAGGAUGUGGGUGGGGCCAGAUAAGAGAAUAAAAGCAGGCUGCCCUAGCCAGCAGUGGCAACCUGCUGGGGUUGCUUUCCACUCUGUGAGCGCUUUGUUCUUUGGCUCUUUGCAAUAAAUCUUGCUGCUGCUGACUCUUUGGGUCCACAUUGCCUUUGUGAGUUGUAACACUCACCAUGAAGGUUUGCAGCUUCACUCCUGAAGCCAGCAAGACCAUGAACCCACCAGAAGGGAAAAAGUCCAAACACAUCCCAACACCAGAAGGAACAAACUCCAGACAUGCCGCCUUUAAGAACUGUAACACUCACCGUGAGGGUCUGCGGCUUCAUUCUUUAAGUCAGUGAGACGAAGAACCCACCAAUUCUGGACACGCUACCACACCAGAUUUGAUUCAAUCAAUGUGUACUGAGCACCCACCAUGUGACAGACAGACACUCAGGAAACGGGUGAAUAAAUAUGGGCACUGCCUUCCAGGAGUUUUCCCCCACCUGGGUACCUACGUGUACACAAAUAACGUUUAGGUAAUGUAGUAAAUGCAAUAGCUGAGCCUAAAAGUUCUGGGAUGGUGUCAUGAGAAGAAAAAUGGGAAAAUUAUGUGGUAGCUUAAUUCAUAACCUCGUUGUUAAUUUUGUGAUGAUUUUUUUUCCAACCACAAAUGCUAUAAUCCCUCACCUUCAACAGGUGUGAAGAGGCUCCCUUAUUAACAGUUCUAGUAGGCUAUUGACAAUCACAUACUUCAUUCUAGAUUGUCCCACAGAAUGACCUUCUCAUUGAACAUACCUUGUUCAGCAUUCUCCUAUACAACGUUGAUUUCUUAAGUUGCUAUAUACUGUAUAUUGGAAAUAUUUUAGAUAUAUAUCUAUGUAUACCUAAAUAUCUACAUGUUUCACUCUGGGCAUUAGAUUACAAGUUUCACAGUGGCUUGAGAUGCCAUUAAGAAACAAAUAUUAAAAUUAUCAGGCAAUUAGUAAUUGGUGGAAAUUCUUGGACCUUGUGAUUGGCAUUAUAAACAUCACUGUAGCCUGAGAGGAUUGUCCAACAAACAUAUGAUCAAUAGCUGCAGGAAACUACAGCUGGAGUGUGUUAUAACUUUAAGGGAUAUGAAGAAAAUGUAAAAGUGACUGCCACAGUAGAGUGCCACGAACCUUUAUCUGCAGAGACAAUGCUCUAACAAGCCUGUGUGCCAGACUCUAUUACCUUCACCUGUAACAGGAACCCUACUAAAAUGGCUUAACCAAAUAAGGAUUUGUUUUUCUUUUAAGGGGAGGCAUGUGAGGGCUAGUUCAGCAGCCCCACAAUUCUAUCAGAGACCUAAUUUUCUCUCUCUUGUUCAUCAUCCUUACCAUGUAGCUUUUUUCCUUAUAGUCAUAAGAUGGAUGCUUUACCUCCAUGCAUUUUUCUGCAUUCUAAGCAGAAAGAAUAAAGAAGGGGCAAAGGUGUGUGUGAUCUGAGUUUGUCCCUUUUUAUAGGAAAAUAAUAGCUUGCCCAGGGCCUCACCUGGUAAGGUUUUGCAUACAAAUUAUUGGGUAAACUACGUCACACAGCCUUAACUGUAAAAGAAUCUGGGGAAGUGAGAAAUUUUAACUGGGCACGUAGUUGUCCCAGACAAAUCCAGGUAAGGAAAAAAGGGGAAACGGAUAUUGGUAAAGAACCAGUGUUUAUUCAGUUUGUGUUUCCAGUUCUUAUAAGUAUCCCCUGAGACAAACUAGUGUGUACAACUACCUUGUAUUUAAAUUCCAUGUACUACUGUUGUAAAAUAAAGAUUCUAAAUAAU